CCUACGGGAGGCAGCAGUGAGGAAUAUUGGUCAAUGGCCGGAAGGCUGAACCAGCCAAGCCGCGUGAAGGACGAAGGUGCCAAGCAUUGUAAACUUCUUUUGUCAAGGGACAAAAUCUGGCUCGCGAGCCCGACCGAGUGUACUUGAAGAAAAAGCAUCGGCUAACUCCGUGCCAGCAGCCGCGGUAAUACGGCGGAUGCGAGCGUUAUCCGGAUUUAUUGGGUUUAAAGGGUGCGCAGGCGGACUGUUCAGUCAGCGGUAAAAGCCCGGGACUAAACCCCGGCGAGCCGUUGAAACUGGCGGUCUUGAGAGGGAGAGAGGUAUGCGGAAUGCGGGGUGUAGCGGGGAAAUGCUUAGAUAUUGCGCAGAACUCCGAUUGCGAAGGCAGCAUACCGGCGGCGAUCUGACGCUGAGGCACGAAAGCGUGGGUAUCGAACAGGAUUAGAUACCCGAGUAGUC
rnacentral:rRNA from 1 species